rnacentral:rRNA from 1 species
UACGUAGGGUGCGAGCGUUGUCCGGAAUUAUUGGGCGUAAAGAGCUUGUAGGCGGUCUGUCGCGUCUGCUGUGAAAAUCCGGGGCUCAACCCCGGACUUGCAGUGGGUACGGGCAGACUAGAGUGUGGUAGGGGAGACUGGAAUUCCUGGUGUAGCGGUGAAAUGCGUAGAUAUCUGGAGGAACACCGGUGGCGAAGGCGGCAUCCUGGACCAAUUCUGACGCUGAGGAGCGAAAGCCAGGGGAGCAAACGGG